UGUCACGACUUCCACCGAAGGUGACUCCUCUCCCUGUUCGGGCGGUGCUCGGUGGUCGUCGUCGCCGGUCUACUAGCUGCCACUGAUCCUUUUUGCUGAUCCUUUUUGCUUUUCUUUUGGUUAUGUCUGACCACGGUAAAGGAUGUGCAGCGGUUUUUAGGGUUUGCCAAUUACUACCGAAGUUUUAUCCGGGGUUUUGGGCAGGUGGCUGCUCCCAAUACUUCACUGCUGAAGGGGGGGGCGGUGCGUUUGCGGUGGUCGGCGGAGGCGGACAGAGGUUUUGGUCGUCUGAAGGCGUUGUUUACCGACGCUCCCGUAUUGGCGCAUCCGGACCCCUCUUUGCCAUUCAUAGUGGAGGUGGACGCGUCCGAGGCUGGUGUUGGAGCCGUGCUAUCGCAGCGCUCGGGCGCACCUCCGAAGCUUCGCCCCUGCGCUUUCUUUUUGAGGAAGCUCAGUCCGGCGGAGCGAAACUAUGAUGUGGGGGAUCGGGAGUGGCUGGCUGUGGUAAAAGCUCUGAAGGUGUGGAGACAUUGGCUUGAGGGAGCGAAACACUCUUUUCUCAUCUGGACUGCACCGUAAUCUGGAGUACAUUCGGGCGGCGAGGAGACUGAAUCCUCGCCAGGCAAGGCCGGUGGCAGCUGGUCCACUACAGGACGUUGAGGUGCGGGAGGUCCCUCCGCCCCCCUGGACAUCGAGGGGGGUCCGGCGUACACUGUACGGUCCAUCUUGGACUCUAGACGUCGGGUGGGGGGCCUGUAGUACCUCAUGGAUUGGGAGGGGUACGGUCUGGAGGAGAUGUGCUGGGUGCCGGUGGGGGACAUCUUGGACCCAUCUCUGCUGGGUGAGUUCCACCGCCUCCGUCCUGAACGCCCUGCGCCUCGGGGUCGUCCUCGAGUCGGGGGGGGGGGGGUACUGUCACGACUUCCACCGCAGGUGGCUCCUCUUCCUGUCCGGGCGGUGCUCGGCGGUCGUCGUCGCCAAUCUACUAGCUGCCACCGAUCCUUUUUGCUUUUCUUUUGGUUAUGUCUGUUUUGUGUUUUCACCUGGUUUCAUUUUGGUUAAAUGGGGGGGUAUUUAUCUCGAAAUUUCGUUUGGAUUUUUGUGCGGUAUUGUUUUUGUUUACUGUCAAUUUGGGUUGUGUUUUUCGCUAGUUCAUGUUUUACAGGUGUUUUUCCCUGGACUGUGUCUUAGUGGGUUUCAUGGCUACUGCUGUAGUCAGGUGUCCUGUGAUUUUUGAGCUGGUUGAUUAAAUGCCCUUUUCAUCCUG